rnacentral:rRNA from 1 species
GGGUUGUGAGGUUAAGCGAAUAAGCGUACACGGUGGAUGCCUAGGCAAUCAGAGGCGAUGAAGGACGUGCUAAUCUGCGAAAAGCGUCGGUAAGGUGAUAUGAACCGCUAUACCCGACGAUAUCCGAAUGGGGAAACCCAGUAUCCAAUGGAUACUAUCAUUAACUGAAUCCAUAGGUUAAUGAGGCGAACCGGGAGAACUGAAACAUCUCAGUACCCCGAGGAAAAGAAAUCAACCGAGAUUCCCCUAGUAGCGGCGAGCGAACGGGGAGCAGCCCAGAGUCUUAAUCAAUAGCAGUGUCAGGAGAACGGUCUGGAAAGUCCGGCAGUAAAGGGUGAUAGCCCCGUAUCUGAAGAUGCUGUUGUUGUGAACUCGACGAGUAGGGCGGGACACGUGUUAUCCUGUCUGAAUAUGGGGGGACCAUCCUCCAAGGCUAAAUACUCCUGAUUGACCGAUAGUGAACCAGUACCGUGAGGGAAAGGCGAAAAGAACCCCGGCGAGGGGAGUGAAAAAGAACCUGAAACCGUGUACGUACAAGCAGUAGGAGCCUCUUUAUGGGGUGACUGCGUACCUUUUGUAUAAUGGGUCAGCGACUUAUAUUCUGUAGCAAGGUUAACCGUAUAGGGGAGCCGUAGGGAAACCGAGUCUUAACUGGGCGAAUGAGUUGCAGGGUAUAGACCCGAAACCCGGUGAUCUAUCCAUGGGCAGGUUGAAGGUUGGGUAACACUAACUGGAGGACCGAACCGACUAAUGUUGAAAAAUUAGCGGAUGACUUGUGGAUGGGGGUGAAAGGCCAAUCAAACCGGGAGAUAGCUGGUUCUCCCCGAAAGCUAUUUAGGUAGCGCCUCGUGAACUCAUCUUCGGGGGUAGAGCACUGUUUCGACUAGGGGGUCAUCCCGACUUACCAACUCGAUGCAAACUGCGAAUACCGAAGAAUGUUAUCACGGGAGACACACGGCGGGUGCUAACGUCCGUCGUGAAGAGGGAAACAACCCAGACCGCCAGCUAAGGUCCCAAAGUCAUGGUUAAGUGGGAAACGAAGUGGGAAGGCUCAGACAGCCAGGAUGUUGGCUUAGAAGCAGCCAUCAUUUAAAGAAAGCGUAAUAGCUCACUGGUCGAGUCGGCCCGCGCGGAAGAUGUAACGGGGCUAAACCAUGCACCGAAGCUGCGGCAGCGACACAUAGUGUUGUUGGGUAGGGGAGCGUUCUGUAAGCCUGCGAAGGUGUACUGUGAGGUAUGCUGGAGGUAUCAGAAGUGCGAAUGCUGACAUAAGUAACGAUAAUGCGGGUGAAAAACCCGCACGCCGGAAGACCAAGGGUUCCUGUCCAACGUUAAUCGGGGCAGGGUGAGUCGACCCCUAAGGCGAGGCUGAAAAGCGUAGUCGAUGGGAAACGGGUUAAUAUUCCCGUACUGGUGGUAACUGCGAUGGGGGAACGGAGAAGGCUAGGUUGUCCGGGCGACGGUCGUCCCGGUUCAAGCAGGUAGGCAGAGUGAUUAGGCAAAUCCGGUCACUUAAUGCUGAGAUGUGAUGACGAACCACCAAGGUGGUGAAGCAAUUGAUGCCCCGCUUCCAGGAAAAGCCUCUAAGCUUCAGGUUACCAACAAUCGUACCCCAAACCGACACAGGUGGUCAGGUAGAGAAUACUCAGGCGCUUGAGAGAACUCGGGUGAAGGAACUAGGCAAAAUGGUGCCGUAACUUCGGGAGAAGGCACGCUGGCGGUAGGUAAAGUCCCUCGCGGACGGCGCUGAAGCCAGUCGAAGAUACCAGCUGGCUGCAACUGUUUAUUAAAAACACAGCACUGUGCAAACACGAAAGUGGACGUAUACGGUGUGACGCCUGCCCGGUGCUGGAAGGUUAAUUGAUGGGGUUAGCGCAAGCGAAGCUCCUGAUCGAAGCCCCAGUAAACGGCGGCCGUAACUAUAACGGUCCUAAGGUAGCGAAAUUCCUUGUCGGGUAAGUUCCGACCUGCACGAAUGGCGUAAUGAUGGCCAGGCUGUCUCCACCCGAGACUCAGUGAAAUUGAACUCGCUGUGAAGAUGCAGUGUACCCGCGGCAAGACGGAAAGACCCCGUGAACCUUUACUAUAGCUUGACACUGAACAUUGAGCCUUGAUGUGUAGGAUAGGUGGGAGGCUUUGAAGUGUGGACGCCAGUCUGCAUGGAGCCAACCUUGAAAUACCACCCUUUAACGUUUGAUGUUCUAACCUAGGCCCAUAAACUGGGUCGGGGACCGUGUCUGGUGGGUAGUUUGACUGGGGCGGUCUCCUCCUAAAGAGUAACGGAGGAGCACGAAGGUUGGCUAAGCAUGGUCGGACAUCAUGCGGUUAGUGCAAAGGCAUAAGCCAGCUUGACUGCGAGAGUGACGGCUCGAGCAGGUACGAAAGUAGGUCUUAGUGAUCCGGUGGUUCUGAAUGGAAGGGCCAUCGCUCAACGGAUAAAAGGUACUCCGGGGAUAACAGGCUGAUACCGCCCAAGAGUUCAUAUCGACGGCGGUGUUUGGCACCUCGAUGUCGGCUCAUCACAUCCUGGGGCUGAAGUAGGUCCCAAGGGUAUGGCUGUUCGCCAUUUAAAGUGGUACGCGAGCUGGGUUUAGAACGUCGUGAGACAGUUCGGUCCCUAUCUGCCGUGGGCGUUGGAAGAUUGAGAGGGGUUGCUCCUAGUACGAGAGGACCGGAGUGAACGCACCACUGGUGUUCGGGUUGUCAUGCCAAUGGCAUUGCCCGGUAGCUAAGUGCGGAAGAGAUAACCGCUGAAAGCAUCUAAGUGGGAAACUUGCCUCGAGAUGAGUCUUCCCUGUCGCUUUAAGCGACCUAAAGGAACGUUUAAGACUAAGACGUUGAUAGGCUGGGUGUGUAAGCGUAGCGAUACGUUGAGCUAACCAGUACUAAUGAACCGUGAGGCUUAACCUGACAACACCGAAAGUGUUUUG